CCUACGGGUGGCUGCAGUGGGGAAUAUUGGACAAUGGGCGAAAGUCUGAUCCAGCCAUGCCGCGUGUGUGAAGAAGGCCUUCGGGUUGUAAAGCACUUUCAGUGGGGAAGAAAGCCUUGGGGCUAAUACCCUCGAGGAAGGACAUCACCCACAGAAGAAGCACCGGCUAACUCCGUGCCAGCAGCCGCGGUAAUACGGAGGGUGCGAGCGUUAAUCGGAAUUACUGGGCGUAAAGCGCGCGUAGGCGGUCUGAUAAGCCGGUUGUGAAAGCCCCGGGCUCAACCUGGGAACGGCAUCCGGAACUGUCAGGCUAGAGUGCAGGAGAGGAAGGUAGAAUUCCCGGUGUAGCGGUGAAAUGCGUAGAGAUCGGGAGGAAUACCAGUGGCGAAGGCGGCCUUCUGGACUGACACUGACGCUGAGGUGCGAAAGCGUGGGUAGCAAACAGGAUUAGAUACCCUAGUAGUC
rnacentral:rRNA from 1 species